UGAAAUGGGUUUCAUUUUUAAAUGUGUUUUGAUUUUUGAAAUUGCUUUCACUUUAAUUUUUCUUUUUAGUUUUAAGUACGAAAGAUCUUUUGUCCUAAAAUCAAUGCACAAUUUUAUGUUGAGUUGGAGUGUUGUAGAGAAAUUAUCAAUGCAUGUAAGGAUGACGGAGGCAUUGGAAUUUGGUGAGGAGAAUAGUUCUAAAGGCUCUAUGAAUAGAGGGAAUGGAAGGUGAAAGGAGAUUGAUUGAAUGAUCAAACUUUUGGUUGGGGAAAAAGUUCCACUCUGCUAAACUUUUGACUAGGGAUUGGUUUGAAAAAGCUAGAGCUCAAGAGGAUAAAUAAGUCUACAUUGCUCCGAUGGAAUUGUAAUAAGAUUGUUGUGCAUGCUCCUCAUUGAAAAAAGUACACAGAAGUUGAUACAUGGACAUUUCAGAAUGUGAUGGAGAACAAGUUUGAAGGUGUCAAAGCACUUUAGAGGCGGCCAAGUACUUUUUGUAAAAGAACAAGUUUGAAGACAUUAUACGGCUUACAUUUUGUAAAGUUGACAAAUAUUUUGUAAAGUAUAUCCUUGAUGUUAACCACUUUUGUAAAGCUUCCUACUAAUAUGUACUUCAUUGAAUU